UACAGAGGGUGCGAGCGUUGUUCGGAAUUACUGGGCGUAAAGGGCGCGUAGGCGGACAGUUUAGUCAGAGGUGAAAGCCCAGGGCCCAACCCUGGAAUUGCCUUUGAUACUGGCUGUCUUGAGUACGGGAGAGGUGUGUGGAACUCCGAGUGUAGAGGUGAAAUUCGUAGAUAUUCGGAAGAACACCAGUGGCGAAGGCGGCGCCCUGGUCCGUUACUGACGCUGAGAUGCGAAAGCGCGGGGAGCGAACGGG
rnacentral:rRNA from 1 species